rnacentral:rRNA from 1 species
UGGAAACGACUGCUAAUACCGCAUAAGCCCACGGGUCGGCAUCGACCUGAGGGAAAAGGAGCAAUCCGCUUUGAGAUGGCCUCGCGUCCGAUUAGCUAGUUGGUGAGGUAACGGCCCACCAAGGCGACGAUCGGUAGCCGGACUGAGAGGUUGAACGGCCACAUUGGGACUGAGACACGGCCCAGACUCCUACGGGAGGCAGCAGUGGGGAAUAUUGCACAAUGGGGGAAACCCUGAUGCAGCGACGCCGCGUGGAGGAAGAAGGUCUUCGGAUUGUAAACUCCUGUUGUUGAGGAAGAUAAUGACGGUACUCAACAAGGAAGUGACGGCUAACUACGUGCCAGCAGCCGCGGUAAAACGUAGGUCACAAGCGUUGUCCGGAAUUACUGGGUGUAAAGGGAGCGCA